GUUUUUGCAGAAAUGCUGAACAAGUAAGUACCAUGCAACAAUGAAUUGAUGUGUGACAUGGUUUACUCUGGAAGACCUCAACAAGGUUGUGAAGAUUGACCAAGAUGGCUGUAUGGCAGUUGAACACAUGUCUGGGACAGAAACCACC